GUUGAAAUUGUCUCUCUUCCAUUGAAAAUAACUAUUGUCUUGGAGGUUCCAGAUCAGUAGAAUUCUGCAGCUGAUCCAAAUAUUCAGUCCAUUUUCUGGAGAGGGACAACUUUGAUUUGUUCUCAUGGUAUGCCCGAAUUCAUAUUUUUUCGGGCUAAUAAUUAGUUUAGUUUAUUGAACAGUUUAAGUUUUUAUUGAAAUCUGUAGAGACUCCGCAGUUUACCUAUGGGAUAUUUAUGAUGUUUA